rnacentral:lncRNA from 1 species
GAAAUUCAUACUCUCAGAUAGUAGUGUAGCUAUGGCCGCUCUUAUUCCCACGGCAAGGCCUUUACCACUGCAGGGUCAUCUUCCAGUUACUAUUACCCACUGGCGGGGGUCGUAAAGCCAAGUUACUUUUACCCACUGGCGGGGGUCCUAUGCCUAGUUACUAUUACCCACUGGCGGGGGUCAUACAUAGCGAUCUGAGAGUUCUUAAAACAUAUCAUGCUUUUCAUAAAUCUUUUCUCAUAGAUCCAUUGGAAAGUGAAUAAUGGCAUCAUGCUAAUAAAACUCAUGAUCAUGCUGAAAACUUUAUUUUUCCAUGCAUCUUUCUACAUCAUCAUAAUCAUGUGUACAUAAUAUAAUAAUAAUAAUCAUGAUGGAUGCUAUGUAUCCAAAAUCUUGUAAUCAUUUGCUAACACAUGCUUGAUCCUAAUUUUGCGAAAACAUAAAUAAUCAUAUAUAAUUUCAUAAUCAAGUAAUCACAAGUAUUUGAUGAAACAUAAGAUUAUAUCAUGUACUUUUUCCACAAUUCUUAUACAUAAUUCCAAUUGCAUAAAUAAUACUUUUUCAUCUUAUAAAACGUGAUACAUGAUCCAUAAUAAGAUUAAGACAGGUUACUUACCUUAAUUUGCUCACCAGCUGUCAAUUCUCCAAUACCUAACAAGAUCAUUAAAUUACUUGUUAAUUACACAUUCGACUUCAUUUAAUUACUAUCUUUCUUAAUAACUUAGUUCAAUUUCUGGUUCAGGCCCAUGGCCCAAUUUAAUU